rnacentral:rRNA from 1 species
AACGAACGCUGGCGGCAUGCCUAACACAUGCAAGUCGAACGAGAGCUUCGGCUCUAGUGGCGCACGGGUGCGUAACGCGUGGGAAUCUGCCCUUGGGUUCGGAAUAACAGUUGGAAACGACUGCUAAUACCGGAUGAUGACGUAAGUCCAAAGAUUUAUCGCCCGAGGAUGAGCCCGCGUCGGAUUAGCUAGUUGGUGGGGUAAAGGCCUACCAAGGCGACGAUCCGUAGCUGGUCUGAGAGGAUGAUCAGCCACACUGGGACUGAGACACGGCCCAGACUCCUACGGGAGGCAGCAGUGGGGAAUAUUGGACAAUGGGCGCAAGCCUGAGCCAGCAAUGCCGCGUGAGUGAUGAAGGCCUUAGGGUUGUAAAGCUCUUUUACCCGGGAAGAUAAUGACUGUACCGGGAGAAUAAGCCCCGGCUAACUCCGUGCCAGCCGCCGCGGUAA